CUACCUCAGCGCAGAGCGUGCCUGCAGCUGCGAAGCAGGGAAAGGGAAGGCAGGUACCUGUAGCACUUACUGGUCGAAAACAGUGUCCACCGUAGCCAGCAGCUGUGAGCCGUUUGGGAAAGGUAACCAGUAAAAUAGAUAAGCUGCACUUCAAUUCUGUCCAUUUUUAAAAAGGAGCUGUGUUUUACGUAGAAAGUCCUGCUCAAAGGGAAGAUGCAACUUAGGAUGCGACUUAGUUUAUCUUGUCAAUGCACGUGAUGAAGCAUUAUAGAGUAUUCAAGCGGAAGUAAAGGUAUUGCUUGUAGGCAGUGUUUUAACCAGGUAGCAACUGCUAGAGCACAGCUUUCCUUUUAAUAAACAGUUUUUUCUAGAUUGCUGGUUCUGGGCUAUUCAUGCCUUCUCCAGUUUGUCAACUCUGUUAGCAGCAGUGCUGUUUCAGUGAUAAUACCUAUUACCCCUCUGUUUUAACUUUGCUGUGGUAAGUUUGAAGUUACUAAAUACAUGCAGUGGAGCAACACUUCAAAAAAACUAUCUAUCGAUCUCAAACAUGCAAAACUGUUUCUAGCAGUAGGCUUUUUUAAGAGAUCUAUUGAGACCACCUACUUUUUGAAGGCCAGAGUAGUAGAUCAAGUAGCUCUCUACUAGAGAGGCUAUGCUGUGUGUUCAAGAUAUUUUCAGAGCGUGGUACAAUUGAAGGUUAAAAAACCCAACAACUUCUUGAUCUCAAACACGCAUCUUAGUCAUGCUAGCAGGGGUGCAAGUGUAGAAGACUUCACUUAAACUGCUACCCUGGACUUGGAAAAGAAGAAUUCUAGCCUCAUUUGAUGUCUUAGAAGAGCCCCUGCUAGAGCCUGUAUUGCACAGUUGAGAUAUAUUAUUAAUUAGAACCACACCUCCAAAAAUAAACUAAUCUUCCCCCCGCCUUAGAGUUCCAUGUACACUUUUUUCAACUGUAGUGGAACCAUGCUUCCAAAAAUACUCUCUCAAAUGCACAAUACAGGCUUGAGCAUGCUGAGGCUGUAUUUCUAUCUUUCAAAUUUUAGGAAUGAAAAUUUAUUAUUUUUGUGGUUAAUGAACUAAAUGAUUCUGUCUCUUCCGUGUUUGAGCUGUUUCCGCUGUACAAACUCCUACUGCAGAGAAUAAUGUAUUUUUGUUUCAGUUAUUUUCAGUGACUUUUGUAACAAGGAAAAAAAGGCGACUUGGAUUAAAAACCCAAGCUGUGUUUGUCUCAUACAGUUUUAGCCUUGGAAGGUGAACCACGAAUUCGAGUAACGUGUUCUGUGUAAGCCCAGCAGCAUCCACCACGUCAGCUGAAGACUCCUCCUCUGAUGGGAAUGCUCUCGUUCAGCCCAUGUUCUAUAAGUUUGAUGUCCUCCAAGUCAUCCUUUAUAAUGCUAAUUAGGUGACUCAGGCCUUCUUGCUGCUGCUUCAGAUGCUGCAGAAAGGUUAAAAACCAGGAUGAGCAUGGUUCAACUUCCCAGAUUUUAAACCACAGUUCUCAAAGGGGCCAGGGCUGGUGGCCUGGGCACAUCAAAAAGCCUGGCAAAAUUUCUUUGGAAGAAAUAAAGCCAGCAUCUUCUGCACUA